rnacentral:rRNA from 1 species
CCCUUAGAUGUUCUGGGCCGCACGCGCGCUACACUGAUGCAUUCAACGAGCCUAUCCUUGACCGACAGGUCCGGGUAAUCUUUGAAUCUGCAUCGUGACGGGGAUAGAUUAUUGCAAUUAUUAAUCUUCAACGGGGAAUGCCUAGUAGGCGCAAGUCAUCAGCUUGCGUCGAUUACGUCCCUGCCCUUUGUACACACCGCCCGUCGCUCCUACCGAUUGGGUGUGCUGGUGAAAUGUUCGGAUCGGCCGUUUGUCGCGGUUUCCGCGUCAUGUGGCUGAGAAGUUCAUUAAACCCUCCCACCUAGAGGAAGGAGAAGUCGUAACA